rnacentral:misc_RNA from 1 species
GAUGAAGAACGUAGCGAAAUGCGAUAAGUAGUGUGAAUUGCAGAAUUCAGUGAAUCAUCGAAUCUUUGAACGCACAUUGCGCCCUUUGGUAUUCCGAAGGGCAUGCCUGUUCGAGCGUCAUUAUCACCACUCAAGCCCGGCUUGCUGUUGGUGGCAGCGCAGCCGGUCAACCGGCUACGCUCCACCCAAAGAUAAUGACGGCGUCUGCGAGGACUCCUGUACAUUGAGCUUUCGGGCACGUACAUGGCUAGAAGUCCAGGCGCCGGUCGACGUCCUCCGGGACACUUUUUACCAAGGUUGACCUCGGAUCAGGUAGGGAUACCCGCUGAACUUAAGCAUAUCAAUAAGCGGAGGA